UACGAAGGGGGCGAGCGUUGUUCGGAAUUACUGGGCGUAAAGGGCGCGCAGGCGGCUCAGCAAGUUAGAUGUGAAAGCCCCGGGCUUAACCUGGGAAUUGCAUUUAAUACUGCUGAGCUCGAGUACGGGAGAGGAGAGUGGAAUUCCCAGUGUAGAGGUGAAAUUCGUAGAUAUUGGGAAGAACACCGGUGGCGAAGGCGGCUCUCUGGACCGUAACUGACGCUGAGGCGCGAAAGCGUGGGGAGCAAACAGG
rnacentral:rRNA from 1 species